AGCGGCGAACGGGUGAGUAACACGUGAGCAACCUGCCCCAAGCUUUGGGAUAACCCCGGGAAACCGGGGCUAAUACCGGAUAGGACCUGACCUCGCAUGGGGUUGGGUGGAAAGUUUUUCGGCUUGGGAUGGGCUCGCGGCCUAUCAGCUUGUUGGUGGGGUGAUGGCCUACCAAGGCGACGACGGGUAGCCGGCCUGAGAGGGCGACCGGCCACACUGGGACUGAGACACGGCCCAGACUCCUACGGGAGGCAGCAGUGGGGAAUAUUGCACAAUGGGCGGAAGCCUGAUGCAGCGACGCCGCGUGAGGGAUGACGGCCUUCGGGUUGUAAACCUCUUUCAGCAGGGACGAAGCGAGAGUGACGGUACCUGCAGAAGAAGCACCGGCCAACUACGUGCCAGCAGCCGCGGUAAGACGUAGGGUGCGAGCGUUGUCCGGAUUUAUUGGGCGUAAAGAGCUCGUAGGCGGCUUGUCGCGUCGACUGUGAAAACCCGCAGCUCAACUGCGGGCCUGCAGUCGAUACGGGCAGGCUAGAGUUCGGUAGGGGAGACUGGAAUUCCUGGUGUAGCGGUGAAAUGCGCAGAUAUCAGGAGGAACACCGAUGGCGAAGGCAGGUCUCUGGGCCGAUACUGACGCUGAGGAGCGAAAGCGUGGGGAGCGAACAGGAUUAGAUACCCUGGUAGUCCACGCUGUAAACGUUGGGCGCUAGGUGUGGGGGGCCUCUCCGGUUCCCUGUGCCGCAG
rnacentral:rRNA from 1 species